rnacentral:rRNA from 1 species
CAGCAGUCGCCGCGGUAACACCGAGGGUGCGAGCGUUAAUCGGAUUUACUGGGCGUAAAGCGUGCGUAGGCGGCUUUUUAAGUCGGAUGUGAAAUCCCUGAGCUUAACUUAGGAAUUGCAUUCGAUACUGGGAAGCUAGAGUAUGGGAGAGGAUGGUAGAAUUCCAGGUGUAGCGGUGAAAUGCGUAGAGAUCUGGAGGAAUACCGAUGGCGAAGGCAGCCAUCUGGCCUAAUACUGACGCUGAGGUACGAAAGCAUGGGGAGCAAACAGGAUUAGAUACCCCAGUAGUCCCUGUCUCUUAUAC